ACUCAGGAUUCUCGCAGCCCGUACAACCUACCCAGAAGGAAAUUUACCCAGAGUGGGCUCAAACGGGUUUCAUCAGUGAUCUCCUUCCAGGGUGGCUGAGUAGGGUUGUUCAGGUUGCACACUGUACAAGGGGCCUCUCUAAGGGUACCAUUUGCAUGGAAGGUAUAUAUUUGUUUAUUCUUUUCAUAUUUUGAUCACAAUCCUGUUGACUCCAAGGAGGAAUCACUGGUGUGUUUGUUAUGAAAAAUGUCUGAUAGCAGUGGAGUGCCUUAAUCUUACAAAAUGAGUAUACUGCGUCACUGGUGUGACAGAUGGAUGGAUGCAUUGGCCAGUGGCCACCCCAUCCCCUGCCUGCCCUCUGGGCUCACAAGGCUGUUCCUCUCCCUGCAGUUCUUCCUGUUCAUCCUGAUCAUCUUCCUGGCAGAGCUCUCAGCAGCCAUCCUGGCCUUCAUCUUCAGGGAAAAUCUCACCCGAGAAUUCUUCACCAAGGAGCUCACCAAGCACUACCAGGGCAAUAACGACACAGACGUCUUCUCCGCCACCUGGAACUCGGUCAUGAUCACAUUUGGUUGCUGCGGGGUCAACGGGCCUGAAGACUUUAAGUUUGCAUCUGUGUUUCGGCUCCUGACCCUGGAUAGUGAAGAGGUGCCGGAGGCCUGCUGCCGGAGGGAACCCCAAAGUCGGGACGGGGUCCUGCUGAGCCGGGAGGAGUGCCUCCUGGGAAGGAGCCUAUUCCUAAACAAGCAGGGCUGUUACACGGUGAUCCUCAACACCUUCGAGACCUACGUCUACUUGGCCGGAGCCCUUGCCAUCGGGGUAUUGGCCAUCGAGCUUUUCGCCAUGAUCUUUGCCAUGUGCCUCUUCCGGGGCAUCCAGUAGAGGGUAUGGCCUGAAGCCUGAAGACUCGCCCCACCCACCACUGCCCAGCACCCAAUGUCCUCCUGUGCCCCUCCCCGCUGUCCUCUUGGCCCCAGGGGAGAA
rnacentral:sRNA from 1 species